UACAUGAAUGGUUUACUUCAGUUCUAGAUUCUCUCUGAGCAACUCCAAAGUAAUUCCUUGAGAGUGGCAAUGAAUGUGUUAACUACUUUUGGCCUUUGGAUUCGAUACCUUACUAAAAACACGACAGUUAAAAAGCAUAAUUUUUUAAAGAUGGACUUGUUUUAUGCAUUCUUUUUAUCAUUCAUAUGCCUUAUGAUUGUUGACCUGUUCCAACCAUGUCUUUACUGGGAGCAAAGAAAUUUGGAUGCUCUAAGUUUCUGAGGUCUGAAGUGUUCUGUGGGGUCGUCAUUAUGUUUGAGUAGUUCAUAUAGAAUGAUUUUAGAAACUGAAUACCUUAUGCAGUGAGGCUGGAUCCUGAGGAGAUAUCAGCAAAGCUGACUGGUUAUGAAAGCACAACGCAGUCACAUGUAUUGGCAUGAGGACCUACAUACCGGUGAUUUUGGAUGAAGCAAUCACCAACCUCAAUCCUGACUUCUUCUGGUUUGGAGUUGAUGAGAUUGAUCUUAAACUGGGGAUCAGAA